UGAGGACCCGGAUGAUCCGCCUUCGGCGCAGGGCCGGAAGCGGGCGGGACGAAACGGAAGAGGUGAAAUGCUUUCCGUGGGCACGCCAAAACUGUGAAGAUGGCGCGGGCUUGGUGGCUUCAGGUGUUGCUUGUCAUUCUUCUUUUCGGCGGUGAACCGUUCCCAUUGUUGCGUUCUGGUGUACGACCGAAUGCCGUGUGUGCUGCAGACCGAUCCAAGUGGCACAUUCCGAUACCGUCGGGAAAAAAUUAUUUUAGUUUCGGAAAGAUCCUCUUCAGAAAUACCACUAUAUUUUUGAAAUUUGAUGGAGAACCUUGUGAUCAGUCUUUGAAUAUAACCUGGUUUCUGAAAAGUGCUGACUGUUACAAUGAAAUCUACAACUUUAAGGCAGAAGAAGUAGAGACAUACUUGGAAAAACUUAAGGAAAAAAGAGACUUAUCUGGUAAAUACCAAACAUCAUCAAAAUUGUUCCAAAACUGCAGUGAACUCUUUAAAACACAGGUUUUUUCUGGGGAGUCAGUGCAUCGGCUGCCUCUUUUAGGAGAAAAACAGGAGGCUAAGGAGAAUGGAACAAAUCUUACCAUUACUGGAGAACGAACUGCAAUGCAUGAACCACUGCAAACCUGGCAAGAUGCACCAUACAUUUUUAUUGUACAUGUUGGCAUUUCAUCCUCAAAGGAGUCAUCAAAAGAAAAUUCACUACGUAAUCUUUUUACCAUGACUGUUGAAGUGAAGGGUCCCUAUGGAUACCUCACACUUGAAGACUAUCCUCUGAUGAUUUUCUUCAUGGUGAUGUGUAUCGUGUAUGUCCUGUUUGGUGUUCUGUGGCUGGCAUGGUCUGCCUGCUACUGGAGAGAUCUACUGAGAAUUCAGUUUUGGAUUGGUGUUGUCAUCUUCUUGGGAAUGUUUGAGAAAGCUGUCUUCUAUGCAGAAUUUCAGAAUAUUCGCUAUGAAGGAGAAUGUGUUCAAGGAGCCUUGAUCCUUGCAGAGCUGCUUUCGGCAGUCAAACGCUCUUUGGCUCGAACCCUGGUCAUCAUAGUCAGUCUGGGAUAUGGCAUAGUCAAGCCUCGCCUUGGCGUCACUCUUCACAAGGUGGUAGUGGCAGGCGCUCUCUACCUUUUGUUCUCUGGUAUGGAAGGAGUCCUCAGAGUUACCGGGUAUUUUUCUUAUUCUUUGGCUUUGAUGCUAAACCUGGCCCUCUCAGCAGUUGAUGCCUGUAUUAUUUUAUGGAUAUUUAUUAGCCUGACCCAGACAAUGAAGCUAUUAAAACUUCGAAGGAACAUUGUAAAGCUGUCAUUGUACCGACAUUUUACCAACACGCUUAUCUUGGCUGUGGCAGCAUCUAUUGUGUUUAUCAUCUGGACCACCAUGAAGUUCAGGAUAGUGACUUGUCAGUCGGACUGGCGGGAGCUGUGGGUGGAUGAUGCCAUCUGGCGGUUGCUGUUCUCCAUGAUCCUCUUCGUCAUCAUGAUUCUCUGGCGACCAUCGGCAAAUAACCAAAGGUUUGCCUUUUCACCAUUGUCUGAGGAAGAGGAGGAAGAUGAACAAAAGGAACCAAUGCUGAAAGAAAGCUUUGAAGGAAUGAAAAUGAGAAGUACCAAACAAGAACCAAAUGGAAAUAGUAAAGCAAACAAAGCACAGGAAGAUGAUUUGAAGUGGGUGGAAGAGAAUGUUCCUUCUUCUGUAACAGACGUAGCACUUCCAGCCCUUCUGGAUUCAGAUGAGUUCCCCAGGCUGGUUCUGCACUUGAGAUCCUCCUGCCUCAACCUUCCUCCUGCCUAGCUGGGAUCACAGGCAUGCUCCGCCAUGUCCAGAUUCAUCAGGUUUAUUGCCCUGAACGAAUGAUCACACACUUUGAACGGUCCAAAAUGGAGUAAAGAAUGGGAAGACGUGCAGUUGAAGAUGGCUAGUAUCAAGGAAGAGAUUGGCUUCUGUGUGUCUUCUACAGUGGUCCACGGGAUUAAAGGAGACAGUGACAUCCAGAUCUCUUUCUUGAUCUUUGUAUGUUGGAGCUGGCGAGAGGUGUCAGAACAAGGAGAAUAUCUUAUGAAAACACAUUCAUAGGAUGAAAAAACCUACAAGCUUCUUAUUUACAUUGAUGCCCUUUCCCUUCCAAACUCUGACACAGAUGCUUAUACAACUUACGUGUUGUUCCUGAACUUCCUGUGUUUCAGUUUAAUCUGUCAAACUAAAGUUUAAUGUCUUCUAAAGGACUGUGUCAUCAACACCAUAGUAUGUAAUCUCCAAGAGCAAUUGCCUGUAAUUUAUUUAUUUAGGGAAUUUCUUGGGUGAUGGGGGAAAUUGUUGCUUGUUUUUCAGUUUCCUGGGAACUCAAGGUUACAUCUUAUAGAAGACCCUUCUGAGUUAAGGAGCCAUGGUUCUAUCAGUGAUCAAAAGAAAAAUGCAGUUACAGUGAAUCAUUUUUAAAAAGCAAAAUCAAGUGCACUUUUGUUUACAAAUGGUGUAUAUUAAAGAUUUUUGUAUUUCAGAUGUACUUUAAAGAGAAAUAUUAGCUUGACUCCUGACAUCUGCUAUUGUGACACAUCCCAUUGCUGGCAAUGUGGUACACAGUCCAAAACUUUUAACUGCUGUUCUGUAAGCCUCUAGGGGUGGCAUGGGAAGUCCUGCAGUGCCUGUCUGCCUGAGUGCCGUUCCUUGGGAGUUGCACCAGAUGCUGAGAGGCGCCCCUCUAAGUGCUGUAAUUGAGCACCCUGCUAGGGGGACUGUCAUGCUUCAGAAGUGGGAGCUUAUACAAAGGAAACAGGUCCUGCUGGCUGAAUUUGAACAGUUACUCUUGCAUGAAGUUGUAUGGAGGCCCUGGCUGCUGCUCAUUUUUCGGAUUGACUGUUCUAGUGUCUGGUGUUGGUUUAGAGACUGUUUGUAAGGGACAUCACAAGGUGAUGGGAUUCCCAAAAUUUUUGUUCUACAUAAAAAGUUCAUGUCACUUUUUAAUAUAAAAAAUUUUAACAAUUAA